UAAAAUCAGGUUUGACUGAAACAAAAUAUUUGUGAAAAGGAGACCUCGCCCUCAAAAUAAGAAUACAGCAAGUUAAUACAACACCAAAACCAGGAAUCUUUGCGUUCCCACCUCCCAAACCCAAAAAAAAUACAGAUUUCAAGUAAACAGAAUUUACCAAUUUACCAUUACCAUUAUCGGAGCUUCUUUCUUCCUCCUCCUUUGGGCCAAUGUGGUAAUCAGUGACCUCGAAAAUCAUGAAUUUUCCUAAUUUGACUUUGAUUGUUUCAAGUCACAGACAGGAAAGCAGAGUACAGAAUUUACCCCGACUAUGCCGACGGCACCGCGGCAUGAAUGGCGGAAAUUAUUCCCGGCAACCUCGGGCCUUUAAAUUCAACAAUCUCGCAAGGUAAUCCAGUUUGCCGCUUCGCUGAUCGAAUCGCAGAGCCGAAUUAUUCAUAUUUAUUCUUGAUUUCCGUUGAUUGCUCCUGAAUUCUUCUCAAAACCCUGACCCUAGUCGAUCCAAUAAUUGCAAGGGGAAAUGAGUACCUCGGAUCUUCUGGCAUUGGAGGCAAAACAGGAAAAUUCACAGGCUGUGCGCCUGAAAGAAUUGGGGAUGUGGAUGAAGAGGUCAUGGUCGGCUGAUUCGCUGACAAAUACAGGAAUAAAAACCUGUGUAUGCGCGCCUACGAAGCACGCGGGAUCGUUUCGCUGCCGCCUCCACCGCAUGUCGCCGCCUCCGCAGGCGGCGCCGCUGCCUCCAUUUGCAGGAUCAUCCACUUCUCCCAAAAGCAUUAAUCCACAAUAAUAUUCAUAUUUUAUCCAGAUGUGCGUGUAAGCGUGAACAGCCGGCAUUCUGCUGUUUACGCCCUUCCUUAAUCUUUUGCAUACAUUCUUGCUUGGAACAACUGUCCUGUGUGUCGUUUUAUGUAUUGUUUCCGCCAUUUUUCCUGUUCUGCAGAGUUCGACGCAUCUGGCAAGCGCCUGUGUAUAAAUAAACAAUUUGUUGCUUUCU